rnacentral:lncRNA from 1 species
GCGUGUGUGUGUGUGUGUGUGUGUGUGCGUGUGCGUGCGCGUGCGCGCGUGCGCGUGUGCGUGUGUGUGUUCUGCAGUAUAUCACAGCACAGCCAACAAGAACGUAUGCCCACUCACACACAGUGCAUCACGCUACAUACAACCAACAGGUAUGUACAGGACCGGCCUUCCCAUUACCCCGUCAUACACAGUGUAUCACGCUACAUACAACCAACAGGUAUGUACAGGACCGGCCUUCCCAUUACCCCGUCAUAUACAGUGUAUCACGCUACAUACAACCAACAGGUAUGUACAGGACCGGCCUUCCCAUUACCCCGUCAUGUACAGUGUAUCACGCUACAUACAACCAACAGGUAUGUACAGGACCGGCCUUCCCAUUACCCCG